AGCAGCCGCGGUAAUUCCAGCUCCAAUAGCGUAUAUUAAAGUUGUUGCAGUUAAAAAGCUCGUAGUUGAACCUUGGGCCUGGCUGGCCGGUCCGCCUCACCGCGUGUACUGGUCCGGCCGGGCCUUUCCUUCUGGGGAACCUCAUGCCCUUCACUGGGCGUGUUGGGGAACCAGGACUUUUACUUUGAAAAAAUUAGAGUGUUCAAAGCAGGCCUUUGCUCGAAUACAUUAGCAUGGAAUAAUAGAAUAGGACGUGUGGUUCUAUUUUGUUGGUUUCUAGGACCGCCGUAAUGAUUAAUAGGGAUAGUCGGGGGCAUCAGUAUUCAAUCGUCAGAGGUGAAAUUCUUGGAUUGAUUGAAGACUAACUACUGCGAAAGCAUUUGCCAAGGAUGUUUUCAUUAAUCAGUGAACGAAAGUUAGGGGAUCGAAGACGAUCAGAUACCGUCGUAGUCUUAACCAUAAACUAUGCCGACUAGGGAUCGGACGGUGUUAGUAUUUUGACCCGUUCG
rnacentral:rRNA from 1 species